GUCACUCAGCCAGCUUGAAUACUCUGUUCCAGCCUGACAAUGUCAGUUUUGUGCAAUGUUUGCAUCUGGUUUUGGCACACAUAGUGUGCUAAUCCAAGGCCCCUUGGAUGCUUGGCUCCACAGCAGUUAUACUCUCAAACUGACUGAUUUAAAAACAAAAACAGGAAUUAGUUUUACUUCAGCAGAGCUCACAAAAUAAAACCAAACACAAGCAGUUAUUGGGUAAUGUACGUCCUAUCGAUAUGAGCACAAGACAUUGAGUGCCACUGCUGCAUUACACCUAUCAUGCUCAGUGAGAUUUUGUCUUAGACUGU